UACGGAGGGUGCGAGCGUUGUCCGGAAUCACUGGGCUUAAAGGGCGCGUAGGCGGGCCGCCAAGUCAGGGGUGAAAGCCCCCAGCUCAACUGGGGAAGUGCCUUUGAUACUGGCGGUCUCGAGGGGGAUAGGGGCGUGCGGAACUUCCGGUGGAGCGGUGAAAUGCGUAGAUAUCGGAAGGAACACCGGUGGCGAAAGCGGCGCGCUGGAUCCCUUCUGACGCUGAGGCGCGAAAGCCAGGGGAGCGAACGGG
rnacentral:rRNA from 1 species